rnacentral:rRNA from 1 species
CUUACGGGGGGCUGUAGUGGGGAAUAUUGGACAAUGGGGGCAACCCUGAUCCAGCCAUGCCGCGUGUGUGAAGAAGGCCCUCGGGUUGUAAAGCACUUUCAGUGAGGAAGAACGCCUGGUGGUUAAUACCCAUCAGGAAAGACAUCACUCACAGAAGAAGCACCGGCUAACUCCGUGCCAGCAGCCGCGGUAAUACGGAGGGUGCGAGCGUUAAUCGGAAUUACUGGGCGUAAAGCGCGCGUAGGUGGCUUGAUAAGCCGGUUGUGAAAGCCCCGGGCUCAACCUGGGAACGGCAUCCGGAACUGUCAAGCUAGAGUGCAGGAGAGGAAGGUAGAAUUCCCGGUGUAGCGGUGAAAUGCGUAGAGAUCGGGAGGAAUACCAGUGGCGAAGGCGGCCUUCUGGACUGACACUGACACUGAGGUGCGAAAGCGUGGGUAGCAAACAGGAUUAGAUACCCUAGUAGUC